AUGGGGGGACCAUCCUCCAAGGCUAAAUACUCCUGACUGACCGAUAGUGAACCAGUACCGUGAGGGAAAGGCGAAAAGAACCCCGGCGAGGGGAGUGAAAAAGAACCUGAAACCGUGUACGUACAAGCAGUGGGAGCACAGAGCAAUCUGUGUGACUGCGUACCUUUUGUAUAAUGGGUCAGCGACUUAUAUUCUGUAGCAAGGUUAACCGAAUAGGGGAGCCGAAGGGAAACCGAGUCUUAACUGGGCGUUAAGUUGCAGGGUAUAGACCCGAAACCCGGUGAUCUAGCCAUGGGCAGGUUGAAGGUUGGGUAACACUAACUGGAGGACCGAACCGACUAAUGUUGAAAAAUUAGCGGAUGACUUGUGGCUGGGGGUGAAAGGCCAAUCAAACCGGGAGAUAGCUGGUUCUCCCCGAAAGCUAUUUAGGUAGCGCCUCGUGAAUUCAUCUCCGGGGGUAGAGCACUGUUUCGGCAAGGGGGUCAUCCCGACUUACCAACCCGAUGCAAACUGCGAAUACCGGAGAAUGUUAUCACGGGAGACACACGGCGGGUGCUAACGUCCGUCGUGAAGAGGGAAACAACCCAGACCGCCAGCUAAGGUCCCAAAGUCAUGGUUAAGUGGGAAACGAUGUGGGAAGGCCCAGACAGCCAGGAUGUUGGCUUAGAAGCAGCCAUCAUUUAAAGAAAGCGUAAUAGCUCACUGGUCGAGUCGGCCUGCGCGGAAGAUGUAACGGGGCUAAACCAUGCAC
rnacentral:rRNA from 1 species